rnacentral:sRNA from 1 species
GGCGGAGGUUGCAGGGAGCCAAGAUCGCGCCACUGCGCUCCAGCCGGGCGACAGAGCGAGAUUCUGUCUCAAAAAAGAAAAAAAAAGUGAUUUUACUUUUGAAAUUCAGAAAAGCUACACAAAGAUAAUUACUACUAAUUUGAUUCCAUUCUGCUUCAGUGCUCUGCCCUAAGAAAAAGGCAGAGCACACUGACAACCCCAGACCUCAGAAGAAGAUACCAAUCCCUCCAUUACCUUCUAAACUGCCACCUGUUAAUCUGAUUCACCGGGACAUUCUGCGGGCCUGGUGCCAACAAUUGAAGCUGAGCUCCAAAGGCCAGAAAUUGGAUGCAUAUAAGCGCCUGUGUGCCUUUGCCUACCCAAAUCAAAAGGAUUUUCCUAGCACAGCAAAAGAGGCCAAAAUCCGGAAAUCAUUGCAAAAAAAAUUAAAGGUGGAAAAAGGGGAAACGUCCCUGCAAAGUUCUGAGACACAUCCUCCUGAAGUGGCUCUUCCUCCUGCGGGGGGGCCGCCUGCCCUGGAAAAUUCCACUGCUCUCCUUGAGGGAGUUAAUACAGUUGUGGUGACAACUUCUGCCCCAGAGGCUUUGCUGGCCUCCUGGGCGAGAAUUUCAGCCAGGGCGAGGACGCCAGAGGCAGUGGAAUCUCCACAAGAGGCCUCUGGUGUCAGGUGGUGUGUGGUCCAUGGGAAAAGUCUCCCUGCAGACACAGAUGGUUGGGUUCACUUGCAGUUU